rnacentral:rRNA from 2 species
GUAACGGCGAGUGAAGCGGCAACAGCUCAAAUUUGAAAUCCGGCCUCCUUCGGGGUCCGAGUUGUAAUUUGUAGAGGAUGCUUCGGGUACGGCAGCGGUCUAAGUUCCUUGGAACAGGACGUCAUGGAGGGUGAGAAUCCCGUGUGGGACCGUCCGCCACGCCCAUGUGAAGCGCCUUCGACGAGUCGAGUUGUUUGGGAAUGCAGCUCAAAAUGGGUGGUAAAUUUCAUCUAAAGCUAAAUACCGGCCAGAGACCGAUAGCGCACAAGUAGAGUGAUCGAAAGAUGAAAAGCACUUUGGAAAGAGAGUUAAAAAGCAUGUGAAAUUGUUGAAAGGGAAGCGCUUGCAACCAGACUUGCCCCCGGGUGCUCAACCGGCGUUUUCGCCGGUGCACUCGCCCGGGGUCAGGCCAGCAUCGGCUCGGGCGGUCGGACAAAGGUCCCUGGAAUGUGGCUCCUCUCGGGGAGUGUUAUAGCCAGGGGCGCAAUGCGACCCGCCCGGACCGAGGAACGCGCUUCGGCACGGAUGCUGGCGUAAUGGUUGUAAGCGGCCCGUCUUGAAACACGGACCAA